rnacentral:sRNA from 1 species
UGGACAGGGGUUCGAUUCCCCUCAGCUCCACCAAAUUGUAAGGAGACGAACAGCAUUCACA